rnacentral:rRNA from 1 species
UACCAGCACCCCGAGUGGUCGGGACGAUUAUUGGGCCUAAAGCAUCCGUAGCCGGUUCUACAAGUCUUCCGUUAAAUCCACCUGCUCAACAGAUGGCUGCGGAGGAUACUAUAGAGCUAGGAGGCGGGAGAGGCAAGCGGUACUUAGUGGGUAGGGUAAAUCCGUUGAUCCAUUGAAGACCACCAGUGGCGAAGGCGGCUUGCCAGAA